rnacentral:rRNA from 1 species
UACGGGGGGAGCAAGCGUUGUUCGGAUUUACUGGGCGUAAAGGGCGCGUAGGCGGCCAGUGCAAGUCAGUUGUGAAAUCUCCGAGCUUAACUCGGAAAGGUCAACUGAUACUGCUCGGCUAGAGUGCGGAAGGGGCAACUGGAAUUCUUGGUGUAGCGGUGAAAUGCGUAGAUAUCAAGAGGAACACCUGCGGCGAAGGCGGGUUGCUGGGCCGACACUGACGCUGAGACGCGAAAGCGUGGGGAGCGAACAGG